AUUGAACGCUGGCGGCAUGCCUUACACAUGCAAGUCGAACGGCAGCACGGGAGCUUGCUCCUGGUGGCGAGUGGCGAACGGGUGAGUAAUAUAUCGGAACGUACCCUAGAGUGGGGGAUAACGCAGCGAAAGUUGCGCUAAUACCGCAUACGAUCUACGGAUGAAAGUGGGGGAUCGCAAGACCUCAUGCUCAUGGAGCGGCCGAUAUCUGAUUAGCUAGUUGGUGGGGUAAAGGCCUACCAAGGCAUCGAUCAGUAGCUGGUCUGAGAGGACGACCAGCCACACUGGAACUGAGACACGGUCCAGACUCCUACGGGAGGCAGCAGUGGGGAAUUUUUGGACAAUGGGGGGCAACCCUGAUCCAGCAAUGCCGCGUGAGUGAAGAAGGCCUCGGUGUAAG
rnacentral:rRNA from 1 species